GCCGGGUUCAAGCAAGUCUAAUUUCGAGUCGAGCAAGCUCAAGUUCUAGACAAGCCACUUGAAGUUUUUAGCAUCAUACAAUUCAUACUUUAAUUUUUCUAGAACAUUAUCUAAAAUUUAAUUUAAAAAUAUAUCUAAUAAUUCAACAUACAAAAUAAAUAUAUGUAUACAGUAUUAUAAUAUUAAAAAAAUAAUUAGAGGAUAAACUAUGCGAGCAAGUAAAAGAGAGGAAAAGAAAGAGUAAUUAGAAUAGGAUUUUGCUUGUUUGGUUUUGUGUGCCAACAAACAUACCCAAUAAUCAAAACUCUAUAUACAUAUAAUUAAAAUACAUAAUAUAUAUUAUUAUAUAUAAUGAAAAUAUAUAUUAUAUAUAUUUAUAAAUAUUCUUAAUCUAUAUUAUAUAUAAAAGCACGCAUUUCAAAUUUUGGUGUAAGACUUCCAGAUAGUCCUAUAAAAAAAUAUAUAAUAGGGCUAAAACUCUUAACCCGGCUUAAGUAUUUUGAGCGAUGGCUAGGCUUAAGAGGUUAAGAGAGUUAAGUGUGCUAGGACGGGAGUAGUCCUAGAAUAGGUGACCCUCUAGGAAGUUGAGGCGUCACAGUUCGUAUCAGAGCCAAUUAUCAACCGGAAGUAUGAGAUGAGUUUCGGCUGAGCAAUGAUUAUACAGCGGGGAGAGCGAGACUCUCACACUGUUAACUAUUAUGGAUGGAGCGCAGCUCACCGCAAGAUCGGUUUAGACUAAUGGGGCGAGUCUCAUAUUGCUUGAUACUUGUGAGUCUCAGUGUAGUACACUGAACUUUAGCAAAUUGCGAAAUUCGAGUGUUAGAAUAGUAAUUGAAACUAUUCUAAAUCUUGUGAGGGGUUGUCGAGAGGUUUUUGACAUGUUACUUGAGUAAUUAAGUGGCCGGAAGAGUGAAAGUGCAUUGGAGAAUGCGAAUUCUGUUUUUUGUAUUGAGUACCGGUACCGCUCAGCCGAGUACCGGUACCCAAUGCAGCAGCUGCGU
rnacentral:lncRNA from 1 species